GGUACACUGUAAAUGCUAACAUUCAAAUUAAUUAAAUUUGAUAAGUGAACUAAACUCAGUUUUCAUCAACCUGUUGUGAACACUACUUUUAAAUAAGUAAGUAGUAAUUUGGGGUUGGAGAACUUGCUUAACUUGAUAUAUCCCAGUUAAGUCAAAUUAGAAAAAAUAAUUUAUCGUACCCAGUGUCCUUUGCGCGUUCUAUCAGACAUGCGCAGAUCUGCCCUGCCUACUUUCGCGCUCUUUCCAACACCUUUCUCAUUUAUUUUCGCCAUUGUGGGUUUAUUUGUCCUCAGCACACUGAUUUGGCUGAAGCAAAUGGUCAGAAGUCCACACAUACCUCAGUCUCUGCAAUUACAGGUCAACCAGAGCAGUAUUCUCUAAUGCAGUGGACUUGUAAGUACUGCACAUUUUCUGCUGGAAAGAGAGGCUACUUGCUUAAGCAUUACCGCUUAAAACAUGGAUACCACACUCGGACAUCCCUACUCCCCAUGUCUUCAUAAGGACUGCCUCUGCACAUUUAAAUCUUUUAAUGCACUCAAAGUACACCUAUCGACAUGCCACUCUCAAAAAGAUGCAGACAAAAGUGGAGAAACUGCAUUUGACUGUCAGUUGUGCAACUUUGUGGAGCCUUGUUAAGAAGCAGACUUCUUUACCCAUUUGCGAGGACAUCUUAAGCUGAGGCAAAUGGUUACUUGGAUAUAUCAAGACUGUAACUUUCAGAGCACUGUUUAUUCUACCUUCACUGCACACAAAAGCAGAAAUGUGAAAUGAGUUUGAACCAUAGUAUGGGUAGGACAUUUGUGUCUAAAUCAUUCAAUCCCAAUAAAAGUUGCUUCAAUCAAAAAAAAUAUUUUUAAUGAAAGAAAAAGAACCUCUUGCUAAAAUGUUUUUUUGAAAAUAUAUAUUUUUUGAAAUAUAUAUAUUUUUUUAUUGACGUGUCACUUUUUUUGCAAAGCAUGAAGUUUUAAACUUUUUUUUUUUUAAAGUGGAAAAAGUUUUU